rnacentral:rRNA from 1 species
GAUGAACGCUGGCGGCGUGCUUAACACAUGCAAGUCGAACGGGAAAUACUUUAUUGAAACUUCGGUCGAUUUAAUUUAUUUCUAGUGGCGGACGGGUGAGUAACGCGUGGGUAACCUGCCUUAUACCGGGGGAUAACAGCCAGAAAUGGCUGCUAAUACCGCAUAAGCGCACAGAACCGCAUGGUUUGGUGUGAAAAACUCCGGUGGUAUAAGAUGGACCCGCGUUGGAUUAGCUAGUUGGCAGGGCAGCGGCCUACCAAGGCGACGAUCCAUAGCCGGCCUGAGAGGGUGAACGGCCACAUUGGGACUGAGACACGGCCCAGACUCCUACGGGAGGCAGCAGUGGGGAAUAUUGCACAAUGGGGGAAACCCUGAUGCAGCGACGCCGCGUGAAGGAAGAAGUAUCUCGGUAUGUAAACUUCUAUCAGCAGGGAAGAUAAUGACGGUACCUGACUAAGAAGCCCCGGCUAACUACGUG